rnacentral:rRNA from 1 species
AACGCUAGCUACAGGCUUAACACAUGCAAGUCGAGGGGCAGCAUGGAACUUAGCUUGCUAAGUUUCGAUGGCGACCGGCGCACGGGUGAGUAACACGUAUCCAACCUACCGUUUACUACGGGAUAGCCUUCUGAAAAGGAGAUUAAUACCGUAUGGCAUUCUAAAGUUUCAUGACAUUAGAAUUAAAGGUUUACCGGUAAUCGAUGGGGAUGCGUUCCAUUAGGCAGUUGGCGGGGUAACGGCCCACCAAACCAACGAUGGAUAGGGGUUCUGAGAGGAAGGUCCCCCACAUUGGAACUGAGACACGGUCCAAACUCCUACGGGAGGCAGCAGUGAGGAAUAUUGGUCAAUGGGCGAGAGCCUGAACCAGCCAAGUAGCGUGGAGGAUGACGGCCCUACGGGUUGUAAACUUCUUUUGUGCGGGAAUAAAGGAGCCUACGUGUAGGCUUUUGCAUGUACCGUAACGAAUAAGCAUCGGCUAACUCCGUGCCAGCAGCCGCGGUAAUACGGAGGAUGCGAGCGUUAUCCGGAUUUAUUGGGUUUAAAGGGAGCGUAGACGGGUUUUUAAGUCAGCUGUGAAAGUUUGGGGCUCAACCUUAAAAUUGCAGUUGAAACUGGAGACCUUGAGUACGGUUGAGGCAGGCGGAAUUCGUGGUGUAGCGGUGAAAUGCUUAGAUAUCACGAAGAACUCCGAUUG